rnacentral:rRNA from 1 species
UAGGGAAUCUUCCGCAAUGGGCGAAAGCCUGACGGAGCAACGCCGCGUGAGUGAUGAAGGUCUUCGGAUCGUAAAACUCUGUUAUUAGGGAAGAACAAAUGUGUAAGUAACUAUGCACGUCUUGACGGUACCUAAUCAGAAAGCCACGGCUAACUACGUGCCAGCAGCCGCGGUAAUACGUAGGUGGCAAGCGUUAUCCGGAAUUAUUGGGCGUAAAGCGCGCGUAGGCGGUUUUUUAAGUCUGAUGUGAAAGCCCACGGCUCAACCGUGGAGGGUCAUUGGAAACUGGAAGACUUGGGUGCAGAAGAGGAAAGUGGAGUUCCAUGUGUAGCGGUGAAAUGCGCAGAGAUAUGGAGGAACACCAGUGGCGAAGGCGACUUUCUGGUCUGUAACUGACGCUGAUGUGCGAAAGCGUGGGGAUCAAACAGG